UUGAAGCAUGUGUUCUUAUUUUUUUAUAUGACUAGAUGCAUAUGAACUGAAGCUCCAUAAUUUUCUUUUCAAGUCGACAUUGGUGGCAACCAAUACAAUUAGCGUUAUUUACAACCAAUGAAGUCUUAUAAUUUUCUUUCUUAGAAAUAUACAGUGAUGCUGACUAUCAUUUAGUAGCUCUACAGGCACUAGCCAAAAACAAUAAUGUUUAUUUAUUUAACCACCAAAUAGAACAAUAGGUUAUUCUGCAUUAUGGGUACACAAAUCACAACACUAUAUUUCAGCUGUAGAAAUCUGUGUGGAUGCCUGCUGAUAUUUUAAGCCUAUAUAUUGCCGAUUUGGUUUGAGUAAUGCUUGAAGCAUAAUUUACUCCCUAAUGUGCAAAUAGCAGUAUCAUUUUUUGUCAAGAAACUGAGAAGACGGAAGAGAGUUGGUGUUGUCACUGUGGUGAGCCUAUGCGGCAACCACAAGGCUGAAGUCUGCUUUGAUCGUUGUUAAGAUUUGAGCCUUGGCUCCGGUUUUGAUAGCUCUAUAUCAACUUUCAGCGAGUUUUUGUUCUCGGACUUGGGAUCCACAGUCCAAAGUUGAUUGGUGGAUCAAGUGAACUUGGUGCAUCUCCAUUCAAGCUGGAGUACAAUUACCAGCCUGCUUGUUUAGCGCAGUCUCCAUAAUCAUACAAGCAAAUGAGCAGCUGGCGACCCAACACACAAAGUUUCUAUCUUCUUAUUUUCUAUACAAGUAGCAGCUGGCGCAGCGGUGGUGUUGAUGAACGACACCCAAUGCAGAGGCGGCAGUUACCAUAGGGAAGAGGUCAAGAACAUCUAGCUCUUGUGGUGUUCCUCCUCAUUAUUGUCAUCGCCAUCAACAGCAACAAUGACGACCGGCUCAUGAGACAACUACUAGAGAGGGAGCGAGGAAGGGGGAGACAGAUCUUUCAGGUACAAUGGAUCUCGGUCAAAAAUCACCUAAGGAAAAUAUGUUGUUCUUCUCUACAAGGGUUGCAUGUGGAAUUUGAGGAGAAUCUGUGCACCAGCAUCCGACUCCUUGAUGUUGCUCUGAUCAUAUUGUGUAAAUAUAUUUCUAAUAAAGAAAUCGCCCGAUGGUGUACAUGUUAUAAAUAACAAGAAUCAUCAAGUGUGAGAGAUGGCAACAUCAUGAUGGGAUGAUGGAUUGACAAGUACCAAAGAUUGAUGCCAAGCAGAACUAAAACCUAUCCAUGGAUUACCUUCAGUCCCGCAUUCCAAUCAACAACAUUGGGCUGAGUGAGCGCGCGGGUGGCGCAAGAGGCAAUGGGCAGCCGGUGGAGACUGAGUGGAGAGCGGCGGUGGCGAGGUCGAGAGGUUGGCACCAGCGGCGAGUAGGCAAUUACCG